CACGUAGGGCGCGAGCGUUGUCCGGAAUUAUUGGGCGUAAAGAGCUCGUAGGCGGUUUGUCGCGUCGGCUGUGAAAACUCGGGGGCUCAACCCCCGAGCCUGCAGUCGAUACGGGCAGACUGGAGGUAUGCAGGGGAGAACGGAAUUCCUGGUGUAGCGGUGAAAUGCGCAGAUAUCAGGAGGAACACCGGUGGCGAAGGCGGUUCUCUGGGCAUGUCCUGACGCUGAGGAGCGAAAGUGUGGGGAGCGAACAGG
rnacentral:rRNA from 1 species